AAAAAAACCCUUGGCGGGCUUUGCGUCCCCCCACUUGACCUCUCUUUUCCCAAUCAAAAUUUUAACAUUCUCCCUAAACCUAAUUUAUCUCUCAUUCUCUUCACACACACACACAGAUUCUAUCUAGAGAAUCUUCUUCAACUCAACUCAUAUAUAUAUAUGUAAAUUGAACUUCAACUUAUAGCGGUGCAAGUGACGGUGAAGGCCAGAAAGCAUCAUCGGUGGCGUCUCGGAGGAUUCCGCCGGCGUCUUCUAUGCUGUGGGUCCGUAACCUCUGCCUACAUCGGUCUUGUCAUGGGUAUGGCCGAUUGAUGUCUUCCUCAAAAUUUGUAGGAAAAUAUAGCUUGAAUCAAGCUUUUACGAGCUUAGGAACAAACCGAAGUUGAAGUGAAUGAUCUCUAAUUAAUCGUCACACAAUAUCUGCAAUCCAGGGGUGCUAAGGUGCUUUUUCCCUGUCUUUUUUUUCAUUGACUAAAGGCUGACACUCAAUUUUUAUGCCUAUUAUGCCCUUGCCUCUUAUUGUUGGGUUCACGCUACUUCUGUUGCAAUUGGUAAAUUUAGGUAUGGGUCGGACCCAAAACAUUGUUGAUGAUAAUGUUAAUAACUAGAGGAGGCAAAUCUGACCCAAAACUAUCAUAUGGGUCAAUUUUAACCAUUUAAAAACUAUAAGUGUCAAAUAAAUUAGACAAGGGGGUCACUUAAAAAUUGAUUAUUAUGUGUGUCUCAUGUUGAUUAUUGUGGAGACAACUCCCAUCACAACUUAAUGUAUUAUCAUCAACAAUGCAAUGCAAUGCAAUGUUCAGUUCAAUUAUGGUGAAUUAACGGUAAUUAGGUUUAAAUCUAGAUUAAGGUAUGCUUUUAUUCACUUCUUUUUUGUAUUUUGUUUCUGAAACUAGUGCUACACAAUAGAGCAAAAUUGAUAUCAGAUUUGCAAAAAUAUAAUGACAAACAUGAAAAUAAGAGUGUCUUUUGUUCAUUUUCUUUUACUGAGUUUUCUGUGUUUUGCUUUAGUUAAAGCAAAUUAAAUGUUUAUAUAAAAGAUAUACUUUGGUAGUUUAGCUGGUGUUUCUUAAGACGGGUGGUACGAAUGUACGGUAGCUCGUUAAGUUCAUAUCAGUUGUUUAUUUUGCGCAAAAUAUUACAAGUUGCUUACUCGCUUAUAGAGGUUGACUGUGAAUCUUUGUAUCAUUUAAUGUACCUUUUGGUGAACCGAUGUAUUGAUAUGGAUAAAGAAAUUUCUUGGUACCUAACAUGAUGCUUUUAUAUCAUUUAGUGUAUCCAGUUUUGUAUAAAAAAAAACCGACCCGACCCGCCCUGACCCGAAACCCGUUCCAACCCGGACCUGUUCCGACCCGACCCAAUCCGACCCAUUUGCCAGGUCUAUUAAUAACGGUGUCACGAUUGGGGUGGUGGUGGUGGUGGAUGGGAAUGUGGUUAGUGGUUUGAAAGCUUUGUAUGCAGUGGAGUUAAAGGAUAAUGGGGUUGGCACUAGGGGUUGUACCGAUUGGCAUCGCGGCGGGAUUUAUUUACAUCAUUGAAAAGGAUUUUUCAAGUACCUGGUGUGGGAAAUGUUGUAUAACAAACAGCCUGGUGAUGCAGCCAAUCCCACUGAGAUAAAUGUUAUUGAUAGGCAGAUUUGGCACGACACGAGAGAGGCUCCGGAUAAUGAUAUACAUGUUUUGUUGAUGACGUUGAUGCGGAAGUUUUUUAGCGAGUUAGGUAUUUCGUUAGUUUAGCUUUAUAUGUAGUUUAUUUAUACAAUUAACGUAGUUUGUUAUGUAUUCAACAAAUAAUUGUAAUUUGACGGGUUUAUUUCCGAAUUGAAUGUGUAUUGGUUUGGUUUGAUUUGA